rnacentral:rRNA from 1 species
AAGUGCCGAUGAAGGACGUGGGACACUGCGAUAAGCCCCGGGAAGCCGUGUACAGGCGUUGAUCCGGGGAUCUCCGAAUAGGGAACCAACCGUUGCGAACCAACGGUGUCCUCUUACUGAACACAUAGGUUUGAGGAUGGGAACCUGGGGAACUGAAACAUCUAAGUACCCAGAGGAAAAGAAUUAUUCCCCCAGUAGUGGCGAGCGAACGGGGAAAAGCCCAAACCGCUUCUGCUUGCAGAAGCGGGGUUGUAGGACCGGCAAUACGGAAGUUACAAAAUAAUCAGUUAGCGGAAAGGUGUGGGAAAGCCUGCCAAAGAGGGUGAUAGCCCCGUAUGCGAAAACUGAUUAUCUUCCGCCGUGUUCCUGAGUACUGCCGUGCACGCUAAUACGGCAGGAAUCUAGGGAGUCCACUCUCUAAGGCUAAAUACACUUGGCGACCGAUAGUGAACUAGUACCGUGAGGGAAAGGUGAAAAGUCCCCCUGUUAGGGGAGUGAAAUAGAACCUGAAACCAUAAGCUUACAAGCAGUUGGAGGGCUAACAGCAAGUUGAGCCCCCUAGAAAUAGGGACGUU